rnacentral:rRNA from 1 species
UACACGCUGUGACUAGCAUAUCAAUAAGCGGAGGAAAAGAAACUAACAAGGAUUCCCCUAGUAACGGCGAGUGAAGCGGGAAGAGCUCAAAUUUGAAAUCUUAAAGGGUUUCCCUUUACGAAUUGUAGUUUAAAGAAGUGUUUUCUGUUGAGGUUUUGGUAAAAGUUCUUUGGAAUAGGACAUCAUAGAGGGUGAGAAUCCCGUAUUUGACCUUUACUUUCAACUUUGUGAUACACUUUCAAAGAGUCGGAUUGUUUGGGAAUGCAGUCCAAAAUGGGUGGUAAAUUUCAUCUAAAGCUAAAUAUUGGCGAGAGACCGAUAGCGAACAAGUACCGUGAGGGAAAGAUGAAAAGAACUUUGAAAAGAGAGUUAAACAGUACGUGAAAUUGUCAAAAGGGAAGCGUUUGACACCAGUGUUGUUUUUCUGAAAAUCAAUUAAAGAACUGUUUAUGCUAAGCUGUUUAGACUUUAUCAGCUAUCUGUUUAGUUUUAGGCUUUUCUUUAAUGCACUUUUCAGUUAACAAGUCAACAUCAAUUUCUUUUGCUGUAAAAAAGCUUGAGGAAGGUGGCUUGAGAUUCGUCUUAAGUGUUUAUAGCCUCUUGCCUAUGCAGUCGGAGAGAUUGAGGUCUGCAGCGUAGAUCCUUCGGGGCUAAAUGCAUUUGUGCUAAGUUAUAGCAUUUUAUAGACAACUUGUUGACUAUGAUUUGUCUUGUAGCUUACUCGCUUAUGUUAUUUUACCUACGCUUAGGAUGUUGAGUCGUAGAGCACGCAG